UACGUAGGGUGCGAGCGUUAAUCGGAAUUACUGGGCGUAAAGCGUGCGCAGGCGGCUUUGUAAGACAGAUGUGAAAUCCCCGGGCUCAACCUGGGAACUGCGUUUGUGACUGCGAGGCUAGAGUUUGGCAGAGGGGGGUGGAAUUCCACGUGUAGCAGUGAAAUGCGUAGAGAUGUGGAGGAACACCGAUGGCGAAGGCAGCCCCCUGGGAUGACACUGACGCUCAUGCACGAAAGCGUGGGGAGCAAACAGG
rnacentral:rRNA from 1 species